GGCCUCGUAACUCAGCUGGUAGAGCGUGCGCUGUACAAAAGCGGUUGCGGCGUCCAUGUGUGGGUUCGAAUCCCACCGAGGCCA
rnacentral:tRNA from 1 species